rnacentral:rRNA from 1 species
UGUCUAGCUGAGGGUUUUCGGACCCUAGCGGCGGACGGGUGAGUAACACGUAGGCAACCUGCCUGUAAGACUGGGAUAACAUAGGGAAACUUAUGCUAAUACCGGAUAGGGUUUUGCUUCGCAUGAAGCGAAACGGAAAGAUGGCGCAAGCUAUCACUUGCAGAUGGGCCUGCGGCGCAUUAGCUAGUUGGUGAGGUAAAGGCUCACCAAGGCGACGAUGCGUAGCCGACCUGAGAGGGUGACCGGCCACACUGGGACUGAGACACGGCCCAGACUCCUACGGGAGGCAGCAGUAGGGAAUUUUCCACAAUGGACGAAAGUCUGAUGGAGCAACGCCGCGUGAACGAUGAAGGCUUUCGGGUCGUAAAGUUCUGUUGUUAGGGAAGAAACAGUGCCAUUUAAAUAAGAUGGCGCCUUGACGGUACCUAACGAGAAAGCCACGGCUAACUACGUGCCAGCAGCCGCGGUAAUA